CUUAAAUUGAAGAGUUUGAUCAUGGCUCAGAUUGAACGCUGGCGGCAGGCCUAACACAUGCAAGUCGAGCGGAAACGAGUUGUCUGAACCUUCGGGGAACGAUAACGGCGUCGAGCGGCGGACGGGUGAGUAAUGCCUAGGAAAUUGCCCUGAUGUGGGGGAUAACCAUUGGAAACGAUGGCUAAUACCGCAUGAUGCCUAC
rnacentral:rRNA from 1 species